GCCGGUGUGGUGGAACUGGCAGACACAAGGGACUUAAAAUCCCUCGCCGCAGGCAUACGGGUUCGAGCCCCGUCACCGGCACCA
rnacentral:tRNA from 1 species